UUCCUCGGUACCGGCCUCUUAGCUGGCCGUGGCGGAGACAGCGCACUUGAAACUACCAGGCGUUGACCUUAAUUGCCUCUCUGUCUUAUAUCAUAAGAUACAGAGUGUUUUAUUCUACAUAAGAUACAAAGUAUUUUAGUCUACACACUUGCCAUGUGUAAUGUAAUGAUUUCCUUAAAGGACCACCAAUCUCAGAACCUGCAGUGUUGUGGCAAGGAAAACCCUUUCCUGUGUGCCAUCUGUUUUCUGUGGGGCCCUGAGUGAUGAGGAGAGGAACAAGGAUUCAUGGAAGUGAGCUUUUAAAAAAUGGUGAGAUAUUACACAAGAAAAUGAACACAACACAAAACAAUGGUUCAUCACAAAGAGAAAAUCUGAGAAGCCAUCACCAAGGUUAAAAAGCAGAAUGUUACUAGCAUCCCGACUGCCGUAGUAC
rnacentral:lncRNA from 1 species